UGUGCUCCCGGCCGCCGGACAACUCCCGAACCCCAGCAACGCCAGGAGGCAAAACAGGCAGCAUUCCACGAGAAACGGGCCCGUGCCCUCCAUCUCCCAGCGUUCUGUCAUUUUCUAAUGUUAAGGGCAUUGUGACAUCCUUGUGGUCCUGUGGUCCUUGCAUCUUUUAAUUAUCCGAGUAAUUGCUAGGAAGCAGCAGAGGAGUGAAGCAACACAGAGCUAGCAGCAGCAGCAGCAUCACCGACAAGCCCACACUUUGGUCCCGGAAUCCAUGGAAGCCAAGGCCAAGUCUGCUCCUGCUCCCAAAGGGCCAUCAAAAGCAGAGAAAAGGGAGCCAGCAGCCCCACGUAAAGUUGAACCUGCCCCAGCAACGCCGGAACCAGAGAUACCUCCUCCCCAGGAUGGGGCGGCAGAAGGUGAUCCAGGUGAUGGGGCUGCGGGCAGCUGCACAGACUCUCUGGAGCAUCUGAAACCUUUCCUCAUUGGUGGUGCUGUGAUUGCAGUUGGAGCCAUUUUGAUUGGGGCGAUGUUGCUAGCAAAGAGAAAUUAAAAUCCUAAUCUCGAAAAAUUAACUCUAUGUAAAAUUGGUUCACAAAUAAUCAUGGUAGAUUUUGAAGAUGGGGAGUUGCUCUUUUUUUUUGGCUAGCAAACAUAUAUGUAUAAAAUAUUACUAAGCAAUGAAGCAGCUAAUUUUUUUUUAUUGCAAACAUUUUAUGCAUGAAAUUUUAAUUUACAAUCUGUUAAAACUACACCAUAGUGCUGAACAUACGAGACGAUUAUUUUCUGGUUGCUUAUAUCUGCUUUUUAUUAUUUCCUCAAAUGUUGACAAAAACACACAGUAUUUGCGUCGUAUGUUCAAUUUCGAAAGAGCUCCAGAAAAUUGUACUCCUGGUGUGGAAAAUGCAGAUUCUAGAAUUCACUUUUCUUUUCUUUGAAAGAGCAGAGUUGUAAAAAUGUUACAUUAUAUGACAAAAGACUAAGGGAUUCAGAAUGCUGAGGUUUAUGAACGUCUUGUGGGAGAAUAUGACGUAUAUGGCAGACUAGUGUUGCAAUGUUAUUUCUUGAAGUAGAUUGUAGAAUAAGAAGAAUUUUUAUGUUAGAAUCAAAUGAUGUGACAAAUCAAUAGCCUUUCAUGUACAACACAACAUCUGAAAAUGUUCUGCAUCUAUAUGUUCACCUCUUAUCGUAAAUACUUUAUUGCGGACCAGUCAUUAAUGGUCCCGUAUCGAGUUCAGAGCCUGCAGUUGAAUCAGGCUUCAUUUCACUGUGCGUAUUCCAUCAAGAACAACUAUCCAGAACAACCUUUGUGUUUUCAGUACCUUAUUAAUAUCUAAGUAUAGCCGGGCACAAUUAGAGUGCUAAUGUAAAGGAAGUGGAUUAGUCAAGCAGUCGUCAUUUCUAUGUCUGCACACAUUUGCGCCCUUGCAUGUGUUCCCAGCAUUGUCUAUUCACACAGUAAUGUCCCAGUUGAAAAACUACACACCACUUUUCUCUGGUUGCAAGUGAACAUUUUUGCAACAUAGUCAUCACAAAUGUUGUAUGUGUGUACAUUGUUGCAUUCUACACCCCUAAUGCAUCCAAACAAUACAAUGCCAAAACUAGAACUAACUUCAUCUGACCUUGUACAAAUAAGUGUACCAAAAAAAACCAUCUUCUUUUAAUAACUUAAUAACAGCAGCGUAUAAAUGCAAUAAUUCAGGUAGGAUUCCUCAGUUAGCACAUUAUGUUGUGCUGUAGCAAGUUAUUUCACAUAGAUGAUGCGAUGUAAUAACACUAGUGAUGGUCAAGUAUGAUGUUUCAUAAAAUGGCAAUGAUGUUAGAGGUGAUAGAAAGUACAGUAUGUAUUUAUGGUGACUGUAAUGAUGGUUAUAUUUUUGAUAUAUUACUACUCUCUCCUCCAGUGUACACAAAGAAUGUGGUUGUGAUGCAACCUUUAUUAAAGGAAGUGAACCAA